rnacentral:rRNA from 1 species
UACGAAGGGAGCUAGCGUUACUCGGAAUUAUUGGGCGUAAAGCGUGCGUAGGCUGCUUUGCAAGUUGGAAGUGAAAGCCCAGGGCUCAACCUUGGAAUUGCUUUCAAUACUACAGAGCUAGAAUAUCAGAGAGGAUAGCGGAAUUACUAGUGUAGAGGUGAAAUUCGUAGAUAUUAGUAGGAACACCGGAGGCGAAAGCGGCUAUCUGGCUGAUUAUUGACGCUGUUGCACGAAAGCGUGGGGAGCAAACAGG